CGUCUUCUUCGUCCUGUUUCUUGUUCGUCUUUUUUCUUCUUCUUCGUUUUCUUUCUUCUUCUUCCUUUGUCGAUCUCCUGGUUCCUCUUCUUCCUUUUCGUCGUUGUCUUCUUCUUUGUGUUCUUCUUCGCCGACUGGCUGUCCUCCGCCCUACACCCCUGAACCUCGCACCUCCUCACUGUCUUUGGCCAUCGACUGCGCUCCACCGCUGCCCGCGGACUUCCUCAAACGUAAACCAUAGCUUUUCCUGUGUGUCAUACCCGCCGUUGAGGGACAACGUACUUUUCGGCACAAGUCUAAGCGUCGAUCCAAGCUUGCUGCAUUGUAAUGGACAAGAUGUUGGGGUGACGAAUCGAACCAUACUUCGCUACUUAUUUGGAUGGACAAUUGUGGGCUUCCGGAUUCGGCAGAGAAGGUCUUUAUGGCUGACCUGAAGGAUGUCUGGCGCCAUUGGAAAUGCAUCAUCAAGUCUACAUACUUCGAACCUCACCAGAAUGACGAUGAAGCAUUGAAGAAAGUCCCUACCGAUCGGAUUGUCGCUGAAGAAUGGCCGUUGUUUGUCCAGUAUUGGAAGGACG